UACGUAGGGUGCGAGCGUUAAUCGGAAUUACUGGGCGUAAAGCGUGCGCAGGCGGCUCGUUGUGUCUGCUGUGAAAUCCCCGGGCUCAACCUGGGAAUGGCAGUGGAAACUGGCGAGCUUGAGUGUGGCAGAGGGGGGUGGAAUUCCGCGUGUAGCAGUGAAAUGCGUAGAGAUGCGGAGGACCCCCGAUGGCGAAGGCAACCCCCUGGGCUGCCACUGACGCUCAGGCACGAAAGCGUGGGGAGCAAACAGG
rnacentral:rRNA from 1 species